UGUUGUAAAAUGCGGAUAAUAUAGCCUUGCGAAGUUUGCAAUUUUCAGUCAUUUUAGAUUUAAUAAAAAAUGACUGAGAAUUACAAACUUCGCUAGGCUAUAUUAUCCGCAUUUUACGACAUU